rnacentral:rRNA from 1 species
CCGAUUUCAUGCCGGGCAACCGCUGGAUAAGGGGACCGAGUGCCCGUCAUAAUCGGGUGGCUUUCCACCUGCCUAAAAAGCAUUGACAUAGCAAGGGCCGGGCAAGACCGGCUGCCAGCCGCCGUCGGUAACACCGGCGCGCUCGAGUGGUAACCGUUAUUAUUGGUGUCUAAAGGGUCUGUAGCCGGCUAAUUAAGUUCUUUGGGAAAUCUCGGUUAACGGAAGGCGUCUCCAGGGAAACUGGCAGACUAGGGACCCGGGAGAGGAGAGACUCC